GUAGUGGCGAGCGAACACGGAACAGGCCAAACCGUUCUACGGGGCGGGGUUGUAGGACUUUUGUUAGAGUUACAAAGUUAUUGUAUAGUAGAAGCUAUUGGGAAGUAGCGGCAUAGAGGGUGAUACCCCCGUAUACGAAAUGCAAUAACCUCGAGAAAGUAUCCUGAGUACGGCGAAACACGUGAAAUUUUGUCGGAAUCUGCCAAGACCACUUGGUAAGCCUAAAUACUACCAUUUUACCGAUAGUGAACCAGUACCGUGAGGGAAAGGUGAAAAGCACCCCGAGAGGGGAGUGAAAGAGAUCCUGAAACCAUAUGCUUACAAGAAGGUAGAGCCCGUUAAUGGGUGAUACCGUGCUUUUUGUAGAAAGAGCCGGCGAGUUACUAUUGCAUGCGAGGUUAAGUCGAUAUAGAUGGAGCCGUAGUGAAAGCGAGCCUUAAUAGGGCGUUUAGUAUGCAGUAGUAGACACGAAACCGGGUGAUCUAGCCAUGAGCAGGUUGAAGUUAGGGUAAAACCUAAUGGAGGACCGAACCAGUAUUCGUUGAAAAGACUUUGGAUGACUUGUGGCUAGCGGUGAAAUUCCAAUCGAACCCGGAGAUAGCUAGUUCUCCCCGAUAUAUCUUUAAGGAUAGCGUUAUGUGAAUUGUUGUGGAGGUAGAGCACUGAAUCUAUGAUGGCUGCACCUAGCGGUACUGAUUAGAAUUAAACUCCGAAUGCCAUAACUUGUGCAUAGCAGUCAGAACAUGGGUGAUAAGGUCCAUGCUCGUGAGGGAAACAGCCCAGAUCGUCAGCUAAGGUCCCUAAGUGUAAACUAAGUGUGUAAGGAUGUGGAACUGCACAGACAGCUAGGAUGUUGGCUUAGAAGCAGCCAUCAUUUAAAGAGUGCGUAACAGCUCACUAGUCGAGUGAUUCUGCGCCGAAAAUGUACCGGGGCUUAAGUUUACCACCGAAGCUACGGAUUGUACGCAAGUACAGUGGUAGGGGAGCGUUCCAAGGGUGAUGAAGUCAGACCGUAAGGACUGGUGGAGCGCUUGGAAGUGAUUAUGCCGGCAUGAGUAACGUUUGGAAGUGAGAAUCUUCCAUGCCGUUUGACCAAGGUUUCCUGGGCAAGGUUCGUCCACCCAGGGUUAGUCAGGACCUAAGACGAGGCCGACAGGCGUAGUCGAUGGACAACAGGUUGAUAUUCCUGUACCAGUUAAUUAGUGAUGGAGUGACGGAGAAGGAUAGUAUAUCCCGGGUGCUGGUUGUCCCGGGCUAAGCACAAAGACGGCAACAUUGGCAAAUCCGUGUUGUAUUAACGUUGAAGUGUGAUGGGGAGUGAACGGUUCGCCUAGUAACGAAGUAUAUGACUCCACGCUUCCAAGAAAAGCUUCUAACAUUAAUAAUUAACUGCCUGUACCUAGAACGAACACACGUGGUCAAGGAGAAAAUCCUAAGGCAAGCGAGAUAACUGUAGCUAAGGAACUCUGCAAAAUAACUCCGUAACUUCGGAAGAAGGAGUGCUCAUCUUUGAUGAGCCGCAGUGAAGAGGGAGGGGCAACUGUUUAACAAAAACACAGCUCUCUGCUAAGUCGCAAGACGAUGUAUAGGGGGUGACACCUGCCCAGUGCCGGAAGGUUAAGAGGAGAAGUCAGCGCAAGCGAAGCUUUGAAUUGAAGCCCCGGUGAACGGCGGCCGUAACUAUAACGGUCCUAAGGUAGCGAAAUUCCUUGUCGGGUAAGUUCUGACCCGCACGAAAGGUGUAAUGAUCCCUUCGCUGUCUCGGCUGCAGACUCGGUGAAAUUUUAGUACCGGUGAAGAUGCCGGUUACC
rnacentral:rRNA from 1 species